rfam:Schistosoma mansoni strain Puerto Rico chromosome 4, complete genome
GCACUGCUGAGGAGUCCCAAAAUAGAACGAAACGGCCUUCUGGUGC